rnacentral:rRNA from 1 species
AGAGUUUGAUCCUGGCUCAGAAUCAACGCUGGCGGCGUGCCUCAGACAUGCAAGUCGAACGCGAAAGUCCCUUUCGGGGGACAAGUAGAGUGGCGCACGGGUGAGUAACACGUAGGUAAUCUACCUUCGGAUGGGGAAUAACAACCGGAAACGGUUGCUAAUACCGCAUAAUGCAGCGGCACCUAAUGGUGACAGUUGUUAAAGCGGGGGAUCGAAAGACCUCGCGUCUGAAGAGGAGCCUGCGGCGGAUUAGCUAGUUGGUAAGGUAAUGGCUUACCAAGGCGACGAUCCGUAGCCGGCCUGAGAGGGCGGUCGGCCACACUGACACUGACAUACGGGUCAGACUCCUACGGGAAGCAGCAGUCGGGAAUUUUGGGCAAUGGGCGAAAGCCUGACCCAGCAACGCCGCGUGAAGGAUGA